rnacentral:misc_RNA from 1 species
GAAAUGCGAUAAGUAAUGUGAAUUGCAGAAUUCCGUGAAUCAUCGAAUCUUUGAACGCACAUUGCGCCCUCUGGUAUUCCGGGGGGCAUGCCUGUCCGAGCGUCAUUGCGAACCCCUCAAGCACGGCUUGUGUGAUGGGCCCUCCCGCGUCUUGGUCGUCAAGACGGGCCCGAAAUGCAGUGGCGGCUUCGCGGUUAUCCGAUCAGCCAGAGCGUAUGGGGACUUUCUCUCUGUCACACGCCCGCGGCGCGGACCGACGCCUGUCGACCUUCAUUCAUCGUUUUCUCGGUUUACCUCGGAUCAGGUAGGGAUACCCGCUGAACUUAAGC